rnacentral:rRNA from 1 species
UCGGGUGGGUUGCCGAUGCACGUCGCUGACCCGAAGCGGGCGAGCGCUACAGCGCCGACCGACGUUCGCCGAGAGCCAGCGAGACGGGGUUACGGCGCGGCGCACCGGUCCGACGAGCGUCCUCCCGAAUCCGAGCCWCGCACDCUCCCGAGACGGUGGGGAACGAACGAAGCYUUAACGGAACGAGAKKAAUGGACCGGUUCGCCGCGUACGAAUGAUCGUAGAUGGGGUUCYYGUCCCUGGCAGAAAGGGGCAUGAUUCGCGGCCACACAGCACGCCUUACCUCGAAGAGAAGACUUCACGACGUCGCUCACAA